AUUGAACGCUGGCGGCAUGCUUUACACAUGCAAGUCGAACGGUAACAGGUUAAGCUGACGAGUGGCGAACGGGUGAGUAAUGCAUCGGAACGUGCCCGAUCGUGGGGGAUAACGCAGCGAAAGCUGCGCUAAUACCGCAUACGAUCUGAGGAUGAAAGCGGGGGACCGUAAGGCCUCGCGCGAUCGGAGCGGCCGAUGUCAGAUUAGGUAGUUGGUGGGGUAAAGGCUCACCAAGCCGACGAUCUGUAGCUGGUCUGAGAGGAUGAUCAGCCACACUGGGACUGAGACACGGCCCAGACUCCUACGGGAGGCAGCAGUGGGGAAUUUUGGACAAUGGGCGCAAGCCUGAUCCAGCAAUGCCGCGUGCAGGAUGAAGGCCUUCGGGUUGUAAACUGCUUUUGUACGGAACGAAACGGUUCUUCUAUAAAGAGGGCUAAUGACGGUACCGUAAGAAUAAGCACCGGCUAACUACGUGCCAGCAGCC
rnacentral:rRNA from 1 species